rnacentral:lncRNA from 1 species
GGCAGAGCAAGGCAGAGCAGAGGAAAAUUCUGCACCUUCACUGGAAAAUAGAAAGGCUGCCAUCCACAGGCUGCAAACGAGGAGGCGUUUCUCCGACAGCACCAAGAUGCGCAGGGCUGAGGGGCCCCGGACCCUGCUGUCGUAUCCCGUGUUUCUUGAAGUUCCGCCUGAGGGCUAAGCUGCAUAUUGAAUGUCUGAAUGUAGGUAUGCCCAGCCUGGGAGGGUGGCACCCCAGCCAGAAUGCUCGGGUGUCUGCAUCUUCCUGGUGCCCCCGGGGCUCCUGUGGGCACAGGACCAUCCUGAAUGCAGACGUGCGGAUUUCCUCAUUCCAUGGUGAGGUGAAAUGUGUGCACACACGUGCGGCGCGUGGAGAACCAAGACUUCCCAGCCGGUGUCCUGGGCUCCUCGUUCCUGCUGCUGUGCCUGGGACCCAGGACGACAGUGCUCACCACCCCUCCGGCCUCUGCAGCGGCUUCUCAGCCCUCUGCACCCAGUUCCAGGCAGGCUGGCGCUGGCGAGCCUGGCCCCGUGGGGCUGGGGGCUGCAGGCUUUUCAGCAGCGGGUUUGCCAGGUAUUCCUGGGGACACUGGUUCUGUCAGAGCAGCCUCGCGGGUUGGUAUCGCUUAGUGAAGGUCACGUGUUUCCUGGGGAGCUACAUAGUCCACCCGAUCUCCUUGUGCCUCGGUUCCCAGCACACCUAAAGUUCACACUGGAGUGGGAGGCAGAGUUCCCCUGCACCUGCCCAGGGCCUCCAACUGUGGCUUUGCCAGUCCGGGGUGCACAGGUCACAGCUGGGCAGAGGAGCACGCCUGACAACCCACAGGCGUGAUCAAGGAGAGGAAGCAGGGAGGGGGGUAGGACAGGAGAUGAAAGGGGGGCCAUUGUCAACCACACUCCCAGGGGACUGUCCAGUCCGUCUGUGUCAGGGCCGACGUCCUGCCUCGGGUUGAAGAUUUUAGUUUUCAUAGAUUGGUUUCGUGUCAGUUUCCUAUGUAUGAACCCUACUCCAACAACAAAGGUAGGUAUGACUCUUCUCAACCAUCUCAGUAUUUAUUCAUUCAAAAAAAUAUUCGUUGAGACCUACGCCUGCCGCUCUUCCCAUUUAGCUGUAGAGACGGAACACUGGCCUUCAGAAGGUUGACCCUGGCUUCACAUGGUGUUAUGUUCCCUGAUAGGACAAAACUCAGGACCUGAGUGAUCCGUGGUGUCACCUACAUCAAGAAAGAAAUAGUUUUGAAAGAGUGAUUGUUAUGGUAACAGAACAAAUCUUAGUAUUGUUUUUCUUGUUCUCUUGGUUUUAUAAAAGCAUAAUGUGCUACCUCCGAGGUCUCUAAACUUUAACGGAAUUUUUUUUUUUAGUAUUUUUCUCUCUCUAGAUCACUUGUCCUUACAUUAAUUAACACAAAUCUUAUUCUUUCAUAUCUUGAAUAGAACAUUCACACACAUUUAUAAUCACUGAAACACACAGCACUCUGUAAAUGGAUUGAGUGUGAAUGACGCACACGGCACACACCUGGCGUUUUCCCAGUGGGAACCGUGAGGUUUUGUUAGCCAAUUCCCAUGAUGUUGGAUGUAGAUCUCUUCAGUUUGGGUGUAAUCAGCUCAUGUCCAAGUUUUCGAGCACAGGACUGUGGUGUGGGCAUGUGGUGGAGUUGUCAGAUGCCCCGUCAAGCUGGGUCUGAUCCAGGGGCUGUGAAGAGCCCCUCCCCAGCCUGGCAGCGCCUCUGCCGUGACUCGCCGUGAUGUAUGGAGGUGCCACAGCUUGUUAUGUCACAUCCGUUGAUAACUGCGUGUAAUUAAUUUGAUGCCAUCUGAUGCGGCAGCAGGUUAGACAUUUACGACAUAAAAAGUUGUCCAUGCCCCACGGAGCACAUCUGUUUAAUGGCAUAAUUCAAAUUAAUUUCCAACAAUUCCAUAAGCGCUCCUGGAGCAGUUCCCCGACUGCCUGACGUGCCCGGCACUGCACGAGGCCCCGAGGGCAUUCACUGGCAGCUUGCAGUCUGUGCACGUGAAGCACAUUUUCCUUAAACUCAUACUUUUUAAUAAUUUUAGACCUUCAAUGGUACUGCAAAAAUACUACUCAGACUUUCUGAAUCCUUUCCCUGAGUCCCCAGGCAUUAGGAUCAUCCUUCUUCAGUGAGCUAACCCUCUGUUGAUGUGCCCGUCGACCACACACGGACCUUGCUCAGAGUCCACCCCUCAUCCCCAGAGCUCCUUUCCUGCUCCAGGACCCAGCCAGGGUCCCCCGUGGUGGUCCUUCCUUUCUCCUCUCAACUGGGUAUAGUUCUUCAGUUUCUGCUUCCCAUGACACCGAUGCUAUUUUUCAGAGUACUGUCUUGCUUUUUUUUUUUUUUAACAGAAUGUGCCCCAGUUUGGUUUCCCUGUUUUCUCAGUAGGUUAAGAUUAAGUGUUUUGGCAAGAACAUCACAAAUGUGCUGUUGUGUGUGCAGCGCACCCUUUUGGGGUAGAUGUGCUGGCAUGCUCCUUCCCUGCUAGGGUUAGCCCUGCCUACGUGACAAGGGUGGCACCUGCCAGGGUGCUCCACUGUUACUGCCUUUCCUUUGUAUUUAAUAAUCAUCUGUGGGGAGAUAAGAAUAUUCAAGGGCUGGGAUUGUGGCUUAGCAGUAGAGCGCUGGCCUAACACGUAUGAGGCCCUGGGUUCGAUCCUCAGCACCACAUAAAAAUAAAUAAAUAAAAUAAAGAUAUUGUUUCCAACUACAACUAAAAAAUAAUUAUUAAAAAAGAAUAUUCAAGUGUCUGGUUUCCUCAUUAGCCUUUUUGCCCACUGACAUCAGCACCCUUUGUACCGUGGGCUGGGCCGUGGCCAGGACUUGGGGUCUGCUUUCCACUCCUGUGUGUGCUAACUGGACUCUACGGUAAGGAGGGGCUCCGUGCCCACUCCAGUGUUCCUUUGUUUUGGCUUGGGCUGGUGGAUGUGCGUUUUGCUCUGCGGUGGGCACAGGCACCCUGCUCACCUGGGCACUCACCGCGGCCCCUAUUUGGCUCUCAAGAAGGCUGCUCGGACUCUGUCUUCUUACUUGGUUUCCUGGGAUGUUGUUCCUCCUCCUCUUCCUCCUCAUUCUAAUUUGUCACAAAGCUCCGUCACUUUCCAGCACUCACAUGAAGCAUGUUUUAAAAUUCCAAAUGCCAUGGCUGGUGCUUCUGUAGCUCGCAGUAAAUCAACAAGAGGCAAUCCUGCGUUUCUCUUGGAGUCUGCGUCAGAUAACGAUGACCCUAAAUACGUCACUAUAGUUUCUUAUUCGGUAAUUACUUUUAGCUGAGAGUAUUUUCUAUUGUUGUCCCACUUUGAAUAACAUGGAUUUUAGGCCGAAAGACUAUUUUCACAUCAUUUGCAUUCCCAGAACCUCUCAGAGUGCCUUUCACAAGCGGGUUUUCAAUGUGCAUGACAGGGCUCUGGAGGACCAGAGGAGGAAGCCGGUUGGUUAGUAGGUAUGUGCAGGCGGGUCCCUCUCUGCACUCCUGGUGUGGGCUGGCUGGAGUGUGGCUCUGGAGUCCCACUCUUGGGAAAGCGUCUCCCUCCUCAAUAUGCAGGCACAACACCUGGGAUCUUGUUCAGUAGCAGAUUCUGAUGCUGGGGGUCUAGGUGGGCCCCAGACUGUGCAUUCCUAACAAACUCCCAGAGGUGCAGAUUCUGUUGGUUGAGAACCACACUCUGGGUGGCCGGAUGUCAGGGCUCCAAACUGACCACCUCUACUACCUGCUGAUGAGGCCUCUUGCCUGUGUCACGUGUCCUCUUUUAACCAUAGUUUCAUGGUCUGUAAAAGGGGAAUGACCCGAGCAGCACCUCCUCCAGGGGGCUGCUGCAGUCUGCACGUGCUCAGCAACAGGGAGCCAGGGCUACCUGCUGAAGUCCACAUCACUAACAGCUGGCCUGAUUGGCUCUUUCCUUUCUCCUUCUUUCAGAUACUGCUCGGUCCUGGAAUUUGGGGGCUCACUAUUUAGUCCUGCAGAAGCAGAACCUCUCUGAGCCCAAAACCCCUGCCCUGGUUGAGCACCUGCUUGGAACUGUGGUCACAAAUCAGACACCUGUGCUGGUAGGAAGCAAGGUGAGGCUGUGCAGGAGAGGGGCCACCUGACCAGCCAGAGGGCAGUGGCUGGAAGUCAGCACAGAAGGGAGGACUCACCUGUUGUGUUUGCCGUGCUCCUUGGUGGUUUGAGGGAUGAGACUGGAGGCUGAAGAGCAGCGGGUCCCUCUCUGCACUCCUGGUGCCAGGCCCUGCCCCUGAGUGGGGCACUGGUUCUCACUGUGGAGACCCAGCAGGGAGGGGCAGCCAGUGGCCACUGCCCAGGACUGUGGGCUCCUCUCUGGCAGAGCAAAGGCUGCUCACUGUGAAGAACAGAAAGGACAUGGUGGCGGCCUCUGUGGCUAAUGCAUGCUGUUGCUGUGGCUUGGUCACGACUUUUCCUCUGUGAAACUCCUGUUGAAAUUUAACACCCUGGGACACAGUGAGAGGUGGCACCAGGUGGGACCUCAAGAGGUGGUUAGGGCUGUGCCCUCAUGAGUGGAUUAACCCAUGACGUGAUUAAUGGAUUAGUGGACGAUCUUGAGAGCAGGUCUGCUAUAAAAACCAACAUGGCUCGGCCACUGGCACCUCUCUCAGGUGUGAUGCACGGCACCACCGCCGUACUCCGCUGUCCACAAGCCAUCGCCAGAUGCAGCUCCUCAAGACCUUGGACCAGAACCAUGAGUCAAGGUAAAACCUCUUCUCUUCAUAACUUGCCCAUUCUGUCUCGUGUUAUUAGCAACAGAUAAUGGACUAAGGUACCUGGCUUUUGCCUAGGCGCCUCCUGGGUCCUUGCCUCCCGGGUGCUACCCUGGUGAGUGCUAGGCUUGUGGGUUGGCGGUAGAGACCUGCUCUGAGAUGAAGACACAUCCUGUUCAAAUCAUGUCGCACUAAACCACGUGGGGGCCACUCCUCCCCUCCGGCUGAGAACACUGCCUGCAUCCUGGUGUCUGCAGUGCACAGACACUAAUAACCAAUCACACACGUGUGUGGGGCACAGGCCAAGGAGCCUGGAUGAAUGGGUGGCCCUGUCUGAACCUGAGCUCAGGUGAGUGCUCUUGGGCACUGGGUUUUGCCACUAGUAAUGUUGAUGCAGUGUCCUGUCUCAGUGUCCUGCUCUGACAUGCUUGGUCUGCUGUCUGCUCUGUGUCCUGUUGUGUUUUCUGGCACCUACAGGACAGACGUGACACAGCCAACUCACUCAAUAUGGCAGCAGGUGUGGCAAACAGAGCAGGCGUUGGGGUGAAAUCAGGUUCAUCUUGGCUGUUGCUCUGGGACCAUCGGGGCAGGCCGUCUUCAGACUUGUCCCUUACCCUCUUGGAGCUGGGCUGUCCUCCUCUGCUGAUUGGGGGAUGUACUUGGUCCCUCAGGGAGCCACAGGGACCAAGAGCCAGUGUGCAGGAUCUCUCUACACAGAGGCUCGGGUCCGCGGGGCUAGUGCCCACGAGGCUCUGGCCCAUGAGGCCAUUCCCUCCAGUGCCUGUGGACAGAGGGUCUGCGUGCUGGACUUGGGCCUCAGGGAGGACAAGGCCUGGUCUCAAUCAGUGCUUCUCUAAGGGGCCCAAGGACCACAGGGAGGGGUGUCUGAGGCUGCACCCCGAGAGGUUGCCAGGUGUAGUGGACAGCAGGGGAGAGAUGAACAUUCCCCAUUUAUUAACUGAGCAAACAAUUCAGUUCCUGGAUUCAGGGACUCAGCAAGGAAGAGGACAAUUGAGGCUCUGACCUCUGGCAGUUUGUGCUUUAGGGCGCAAUAGGCAGUUAUCUAAUAGAGGCAGCUGCCUCAACCAGGGGACCCAAGAGGGUCAGGAGAGGCAUCUCUUAGGAUGGACCCUGACUAACGUGACCGCAGCCUGGGGAGCCAGCGAACGGGUGCUUCCCCCAGAGCCUGGGUUCAAGGCCAAGUGGGAAGCAGCUUGGGGUGCAGGGCCACCCUGUGCUCCCGUGGGUGCACACUCACCUGGCAACUGCUGCCACGUGGACGUCUGUUCCAUAUGUGGGUCACCUCUAGGCAAAGGCAGAGUGGCCCAGGGAAAAGGCUGUGGCCCCGGGCCUCAUGGAAGUGGGCACUUGCUGCCUCUUGGAGGACAAGUUACUUCCUUCUCUCAUUUAUUCAAAGCCUCAAUUUUUCAUCUAAGACGUGGGAGAACGUCCUCUUACACAGCUGUGAGGAGCAUCAUGACUCCCAGAACCUGCACAGUGCUCCGAGCACAGAACCUGCUGAAGUGUGCACACCGCUCGUCCACGCGCACUCGUGCCAUGUGCAUUUAAGGACUCAAACACGCGUGUGUGUGUCUUGUGCUGCCUGCACUCGGGUGCACCCUGCCACGCACUCUCAGCCCUGCAGCUGACGCACUUCUUGAACCACAGAUUCAAUUAGAAUUUAUGAAAGAAACAAGGCAAAGGAGACAAACAUUCAUUAAAAUCUGAUCAUUUCUUGUUUCCACUUAGGGCUGUUUUUUGGAGCCAUCUGGGAACAAUUUAUGGAAGCCAUAAUUGUGCAUUAAAUAUUACGAUUUGUUCCAGACUCCAUCUAUGAAGUAAACAGUGGAGAGAUUUACUGUACAGUCAGCACAUCGGGCAGCCCUGCAGCUUUUCUGCCUUAAACACUUCUUCGUCCCCACGGCUCCUUCUGGAACCCGUUGGACAAAUAGACGCGGGGCUUCGGCAGACAUACUGCGCAGGAGCCAGAUGGCCUGUGUGGCAGCACCUCUGUCCAGAGACCUCGGGGUGAGGUUCGUGGAGAGGGAUGUGCUGGUUUUAACUGGGUUGAGUGUCCCUGGGCCCCCUGGGGAGGCAGUGGCUGACCCUGGGGAAGAGGAGAGUGAAGAACAGUGUGGGAUUGCACCCCUAUAUCUCAACUGCCACCAGCAGGGGACUUACCUUCCAGGGCUUGGCUUCUGGGCAGCAGGUGGCUGCCCACUGCUCCAGGCGCCCUGAGCUGUGGGGACACGUGGAGGUGAGGCGGGGUAGAAGUGGGUCAGUCUCUGAGUGGUGUGGUUUGGCUGCACAGACGGCUGCUGGCCUGAGGUUCAGUGGGAGAGCUGUCUUCUCAGGUGAGCGCACAGGGAGAGUUGUGCCUGCUGAAAGGCAGGAUGAGGAAGGGGGGGUCUCGGGAACUUGGGAGAAGCGGCUGUGGAGAAGGAACUAGCCUGGGCUGCGUCUGCGACGAGCUGCCAAAGGGCCAGAGCCUGCGGAGUGCCGGCUGAAAGAGCGAAUGAUGGCCGGCCGACACACGUGGCCCUCGGUCCCCUGCCGAUCCUUGCGUAUCUUUUUGCUCUGCAUCAAGUGGUCUGGGCGAGCACUUACUAUCCAAGCAGCUUCUCCUCCCCAGCUGUUUCUCCGGCCCAUUUCUUCUCUCUCCCACCCACCCAUCCACCCAUUGUCCUGGUCUCUACUUGUCAUCAGCAAACGGGAAUUCAGGACUAAAGGUGACAGGCACAUGGGAAUGGACGCUCCUGUUUCCUGCACAGUGCCCAGUGUGGCUGUCCCCUUGUGGCCUUUGCUCCGCAGGCACUGAGAAGAGGCCAGACAAGCACACAGUUUGAGUGACUCUUGUGCAGAGGGGAUGUUUGCCAAAGACCAGCGACUGUGCACCUUUCCUCUCUGCCUCAUUCCCAUGGAGUCCCACCGCCUUGGAGCAAGAGGAUGCACUGUUCUACCACCAAGUGGGCUGGCUAAAGUCAGCUCAUUCUGCUCACAUCCAGCUUGGAGAAGUGCUUGGAGCUGGAGGAGAAACAACACUGGACGGGGGUGGGGGGGGUGGGGGACACUGCUGGUCUAGGGAACUGGGCAGGAAGCGGGUGCCUCCCCUGAGCCAAGUGCACCGGUGACUUGAUAAGGGGGCAGGGGGAUCUCACCAGAUGACCUGGCAGGCCUGGCCAUCACUGCCCGGGGAAGCCUGCUCUGCUCUGCCCCAACACCCUGCCUAGAGGGGCGAGACACGGAGGCCCAUGGUGGCCAGGAAAGGCUUUCUCCAGUAUGGCCAUGCGUCUGUUAGCAUUUCCAAACCUCGACCAAGUCCUGGGCACCAUCCAGCAGCCUGGGAAAUUGUGCCUUCACAGAGUGCUGUGGCUCUAACGAGAGCAACAUCCUUCAGAGUCAACUGGGGCACCAAGUGCACCUCCUAAAGAGUGAAGGAGAGGGCUUCCACUUUGCUAAAUAAAUACAAUUUAACUAGAGUUUUCAGUAUAUA